AGAGUUUGAUCCUGGCUCAGGACGAACGCUGGCGGCGUGCCUAAUACAUGCAAGUCGAACGAACUCUGGUAUUGAUUGGUGCUUGCAUCAUGAUUUACAUUUGAGUGAGUGGCGAACUGGUGAGUAACACGUGGGAAACCUGCCCAGAAGCGGGGGAUAACACCUGGAAACAGAUGCUAAUACCGCAUAACAACUUGGACCGCAUGGUCCGAGUUUGAAAGAUGGCUUCGGCUAUCACUUUUGGAUGGUCCCGCGGCGUAUUAGCUAGAUGGUGGGGUAACGGCUCACCAUGGCAAUGAUACGUAGCCGACCUGAGAGGGUAAUCGGCCACAUUGGGACUGAGACACGGCCCAAACUCCUACGGGAGGCAGCAGUAGGGAAUCUUCCACAAUGGACGAAAGUCUGAUGGAGCAACGCCGCGUGAGUGAAGAAGGGUUUCGGCUCGUAAAACUCUGUUGUUAAAGAAGAACAUAUCUGAGAGUAACUGUUCAGGUAUUGACGGUAUUUAACCAGAAAGCCACGGCUAACUACGUGCCAGCAGCCGCGGUAAUACGUAGGUGGCAAGCGUUGUCCGGAUUUAUUGGGCGUAAAGCGAGCGCAGGCGGUUUUUUAAGUCUGAUGUGAAAGCCUUCGGCUCAACCGAAGAAGUGCAUCGGAAACUGGGAAACUUGAGUGCAGAAGAGGACAGUGGAACUCCAUGUGUAGCGGUGAAAUGCGUAGAUAUAUGGAAGAACACCAGUGGCGAAGGCGGCUGUCUGGUCUGUAACUGACGCUGAGGCUCGAAAGUAUGGGUAGCAAACAGGAUUAGAUACCCUGGUAGUCCAUACCGUAAACGAUGAAUGCUAAGUGUUGGAGGGUUUCCGCCCUUCAGUGCUGCAGCUAACGCAUUAAGCAUUCCGCCUGGGGAGUACGGCCGCAAGGUUGAAACUCAAAGGAAUUGACGGGGGCCCGCACAAGCGGUGGAGCAUGUGGUUUAAUUCGAAGCUACGCGAAGAACCUUACCAGGUCUUGACAUACUAUGCAAAUCUAAGAGAUUAGACGUUCCCUUCGGGGACAUGGAUACAGGUGGUGCAUGGUUGUCGUCAGCUCGUGUCGUGAGAUGUUGGGUUAAGUCCCGCAACGAGCGCAACCCUUAUUAUCAGUUGCCAGCAUUAAGUUGGGCACUCUGGUGAGACUGCCGGUGACAAACCGGAGGAAGGUGGGGAUGACGUCAAAUCAUCAUGCCCCUUAUGACCUGGGCUACACACGUGCUACAAUGGAUGGUACAACGAGUUGCGAACUCGCGAGAGUAAGCUAAUCUCUUAAAGCCAUUCUCAGUUCGGAUUGUAGGCUGCAACUCGCCUACAUGAAGUCGGAAUCGCUAGUAAUCGCGGAUCAGCAUGCCGCGGUGAAUACGUUCCCGGGCCUUGUACACACCGCCCGUCACACCAUGAGAGUUUGUAACACCCAAAGUCGGUGGGGUAACCUUUUAGGAACCAGCCGCCUAAGGUGGGACAGAUGAUUAGGGUGAAGUCGUAACAAGGUAGCCGUAGGAGAACCUGCGGCUGGAUCACCU
rnacentral:rRNA from 2 species